rnacentral:rRNA from 1 species
GAUGAACGCUGGCGGCGUGCCUAAUACAUGCAAGUCGAGCGAACGGACGAGAAGCUUGCUUCUCUGAUGUUAGCGGCGGACGGGUGAGUAACACGUGGAUAACCUACCUAUAAGACUGGGAUAACUUCGGGAAACCGGAUCUAAUACCGGAUAAUAUUUUGAACCGCAUGGUUCAAAAGUGAAAGACGGUCUUGCUGUCACUUAUAGAUGGAUCCGCGCUGCAUUAGCUAGUUGGUAAGGUAACGGCUUACCAAGGCAACGAUGCAUAGCCGACCUGAGAGGGUGAUCGGCCACACUGGAACUGAGACACGGUCCAGACUCCUACGGGAGGCAGCAGUGGGGAAUCUUCCGCAAUGGGCGAAAGCCUGACGGAGCAACGCCGCGUGAGUGAUGAAGGUCUUCGGAUCGUAAAACUCUGUUAUUAGGGAAGAACAUAUGUGUAAGUAACUGUGCACAUCUUGACGGUACCUAAUCAGAAAGCCACGGCUAACUACGUG